UACGUAGGGAGCAAGCGUUGUCCGGAAUUACUGGGUGUAAAGGGAGCGUAGGCGGGAUGGCAAGUUGGGUGUUAAAUCUACCGGCUCAACUGGUAGUCGCACUCAAAACUGCUAUUCUUGAGUGAAGUAGAGGCAGGCGGAAUUCCUAGUGUAGCGGUGAAAUGCGUAGAUAUCGGGAGGAACACCAGUGGCGAAGGCGGUUUACUGGACCACAACUGACGCUGAGACACGAAAGCGUGGGGAGCAAACAGG
rnacentral:rRNA from 1 species